CAGCAGCCUGCCUAUUGUGUCAUGAUAUGGAAACAUUUGUUUUUUUCUGCUUUUUUCUUCUCCCUCAGGUCCUAUAAAUUCAGAUCCUUCCUUUGCGGCUUCUAUUUCUUCCUGGUCACUCGCAUCUCGCUUGUUCCUCUGACCCACGCAGCCCUUGUAGCACCUGGAGGAGUGGUCAUCUGCUUUGCACACCAAAACCUUACACUGCAGAGUUCAUAAAAUCAUUAAGGGCUUGGGAAGGGACUCAUCCAUCAGAUUUCAG
ensembl:lncRNA